UACGGGGGGGGCAAGCGUUGUUCGGAAUUACUGGGCGUAAAGGGCUUGUAGGUGGCCAACUAAGUCAGACGUGAAAUCCCUCGGCUUAACCGGGGAACUGCGUCUGAUACUGGAUGGCUCGAGUUUGGGAGAGGGAUGCGGAAUUCCAGGUGUAGCGGUGAAAUGCGUAGAUAUCUGGAGGAACACCGAUAGCGAAGGCAGCUUGCUACACGAGUAUUGACACUGAGGCACGAAAGCGUGGGGAUCAAACAGG
rnacentral:rRNA from 1 species